rnacentral:snoRNA from 1 species
GUCGACAAUACUUCAGAGAAUCAUUUCUAUAGUAUUCGUCCUCUUUUGUGUUCCCUAAAGGAGCCACAGAUCCCACCCGGGUUGAUGAACAAUAUCCUCGGCACCCCACAGUGAGAUCCUUUUUUACUCUCGAUCUGCCUGCAAAGGCGGCGGUCGCUGGCUUUUGGGCCGCGACUGUAUAGAGAGUGGCGAUGAUCUGUACCCCGCCUUUUCGAGGUCUUGCCUUCGGGCGCUCGGGCGGGGUGGGUGUCGAUGGAAGUCUGACCGGC